ACAGAAGUCAUCUGGGACACAGUGACAUUGACACCAUUCUCCAGAAUUCGCCUCCCCCCAGUGUUACCAAUGAGCACCAGGUCUUCCUCCAGAGAUCCAAGCUUAAUGAAGUAGAAAGCUGAUCUUAGAUGCUGUGGAUGCAGGUUCCACAUGGACUUUGCAACUUGGGGGCAGUUUCCUUCAGUCACACAGCCCCUUGUUUUAAAGGAAGAUCUCAUAUAAAGGGGAAUGCAUCUUUCCAGACUGAAUGUCGAAGAAACAAGUUUAAUCAAAAUCUCUUCUGCUGUGUGUUUCCCUUUGGUGCCUUCAUCCUUUGGUGCAGAGAGUACAAGCCGAUCUGCUCCAACUGAUCUCCUCAGGCCACAGCAUGGGAGCAAACCCACCCUCUCUGCCUGCAGGGCAGAGCACUCACCUAACCAGGCUGCAAAUUAUAGCUGGUGAAUUGUGCCAUCAGGAAAUGACAGUUGCCUUCAUAGUCAUCAGAAGUGGGUUUGCUAUGAAGAGCAGCCCGCUGUGGGAGACACUGAUGGCCCUCGCUGACUCUAGAGUGGAGUGAAUUGCUACCUUGCUGACCAGGAAAUGAUCAAUGCCUGGCACCUGGCAGUGAAUGGGGCGUCCUGCAAUGAUCCGCACGCGCCUCUUCUCAGAAAUUUGCAGCACAAUGUUGUUAUCCAAGACAUACAAUGAAUUGUCCAUAGGAUUGACUGCAAGGUCUGUUGGCCACUCUAAUCGCACCUGUGAAAAGAACAGAACACAUACCAUUAGGUUACCAUAUCUUUCCAUAGGCAGUUUUACCUCAAAAAAAGAAAAAGAAAAUUUGGUGUAUUGUUUUCCCCGUCUUAUGAAUUUUAGCAACAUUGGUGAU